UCAGCCCUACGGGGGGCAGCAGUGAGGAAUAUUGGUCAAUGGGCGGGAGCCUGAACCAGCCAAGUCGCGUGAGGGACGACGGUCCUAUGGAUUGUAAACCUCUUUUGUCGGGGAACAAAGGCGCCCACGGGUGGGCGGAUGAGUGUACCCGAAGAAAAAGCAUCGGCUAACUCCGUGCCAGCAGCCGCGGUAAUACGGAGGAUGCGAGCGUUAUCCGGAAUGAUUGGGCGUAAAGGGUGCGUAGGCGGCCUGCUAAGUCUGGAG
rnacentral:rRNA from 1 species